UUUAUGCUUUAGUGGCGAACGGGUGCGUAAUACGUGAGAAUCUGCCCUUAGGAGGAGAAUAACUUCUGGAAACGGUUGCUAAGUCUCCAUAUGCCGAGAGGUAAAAUAGUUUACACUGCCUAGGGAUGAGCUCACGCCUGAUUAGCUUGUUGGUAAGGUAAUGGCUUACCAAGGCCACGAUCAGUAGCUGGUUUGAGAGAACGAUCAGCCACACUGGGACUGAGACACGGCCCAGACUCCUCCGGGAGGCAGCAGUGAGGAAUUUUCCGCAAUGGGCGAAAGCCUGACGGAGCAAUACCGCGUGAGGGAUGAAGGAUUUUGGUCUGUAAACCUCUUUUCUCAAGAAAGAAGUUCUGACGGUACUUGAGGAAUAAGCAUCGGCUAACUCCGUGCCAGCAGCCGCGGUAAUACGGGGGAUGCAAGCGUUAUCCGGAUUUAUUGGGCGUAAAGCGCCUGUAGGUUGUUUAAUAAGUCUGUUGUUAAAGACUAGGGCUUAACCCUAGGAAAGCAAUGGAAACUACUAGACUUGAGUAUGAUAGGGGUA
rnacentral:rRNA from 1 species